rnacentral:rRNA from 1 species
UACGUAGGGUGCAAGCGUUGUCCGGAAUUAUUGGGCGUAAAGGGCUCGUAGGCGGUCUGUCACGUCGGGAGUGAAAACUCAGGGCUUAACCCUGAGCCUGCUUCCGAUACGGGCAGACUAGAGGUAUGCAGGGGAGAACGGAAUUCCUGGUGUAGCGGUGAAAUGCGCAGAUAUCAGGAGGAACACCGGUGGCGAAGGCGGUCUCUGGGCAUUACCUGACGCUGAGGAGCGAAAGCCAGGGAGCAAAACGGGAUUAGAAAACCCCAG